AUUUUUUUUUGGCAACACUGCUUGAGUGCUGAUGGUACUUUUCAUAACACUUUGUGUCCACCAUUUCAUAUUUAAAAAAGUACACUGCGACUUGUGUGGACGUUAAAUACUUUAUAAUUUCUGCAAUAAUACUUAUUUGUUCUGAAUGCUGAUUCCGUUGUAAAUUAACACUCUCGAGUACUCUCGACACGUAAUUAAAACUCGGCCAAAAUAAACAGUCGUUUGUUACAUCACAUGACUUGAAUAGUAUGCAUUCGUUCAUUUUGCCGGAUAAUAGUGGAGUGCAUUAUAAGAAAUACGAGCAAGUGCCGAUGACAGCUUUUGUUAAAUAAACAGUUGUAAAAGUUAACUUGCAAAACUCACACGGCCCUGUUAGAAUCGAGAAUCCUGCACAAUACAUUCGGGUACCAGAGAAACAGUCGACUUCUGACAACGACGGUGGAAAUACUUAUUUUAAAAGUGAGAUAAACCAGUUUGGCGUUUCUAAAGAGUAGCAAGCUUGCAUUCAUUGCUGGCAGCGAAUUCGCCAGCCGCCAUAAUAGUUAGUGUUUUGAGAAGCAUUCUAAUGAAAAAGUGUUUGUGUAGUCAAAAUAAGUGCUGAUUAAACAAUAACGUAAACAUAACGAGACUCCAUUGGUGUGAAUUUGACGUCUGUCAUUUGUCAACUGUCAACUGUCAGUGUCACUAACGUCAUCUAGCUGCGUUCCAGUGUCAUAAUUAGGGAUAGUGUUACAUCUUUAACAUACGCUUGUUAACCCAAGUUAUGCAUUCUCUCGAGUCAUUCACUUCACGUUAGAUUUAAAACGUUGUAUUAUUUCUAAUUCUUUGUUUUGAUUUUUUAUCACUGUAAUUUGUGUGUUACUUAGUUAUUUUUGUUAUAUUUAGUCGUGUAUUUUGUUUAAUAAUGGCCACAGGCGAGAACAACGCAUCCCAUAACCUUGGGGCUGGAACUAGUGAAGCCACAUUAAUUUCACAUAUACUUUUUGCUAACACAGUAAACAUGCGGCCAUUUUGGCACGACAUGCCAGCACUAUGGUUCGCUAAAUUGGAGGCAAAUUUCUCUAUUCACCAAAUUACGGGGGAGGAUACAAAAUACGAUUUUACUGUUUGCCAACUUGAUGGGAAAACUGCAUCUGUUGUUGAGGACAUAAUAAUGCAGAAGCCGUUAGAGGAACCGUACUCAAAACUGAAGCAGGAGCUGAUUUCUCGCUUUACGGAAACUGAUAUGAAUAGAAUCCGUCAACGUCUUGAAAGGCAAGAGAUUGGUGAUAAAAAACCUUCAUGUUUCUUGCGGUCUCUCAAGGUUCUGGCUGGUGACUCGUUCCCGGAGGAGGAAUUGAAAAGUAUUUGGCUAAAAAAGCUUCCUGUAGACUACAGAAUACAUUUUUGCCGGCAGCCUAUGCCACUGGAUCUGAUGGUUAAGAUGGCUGACAAGUUAUAUGACGUAGGUAUUAUAGUUUUGCUAGACGGCAGUUUUCUGACCUGACAUAAGCCUGACAUAGGUAUACUGUUUCAAAAAUCAAGUUUUUUGGGUUAUGCAUUUAUGCAUCAAAUUCCUUUGACGAAAACCCAGGUAUAACAAAACAGAUUUAAAAAAUAUAGGUAUUUUUACUAUGUAUAAUAACGUGAUAAUAACAUUUUUCUAUACAGAACACUUUUACCACGCACAGAGACAAAGGACGGUUUUUCAUCUCUUCAGAAAAAAAAAGGUUUUUGAGUUAACCUCUUUAAGAUAAGCGAUAUUGUUAUUUUGUAGUAAGUAAGUACCUAUUAGUUAUAUUCUCAAAAUCUUUGUAAACCUAGUAUAAUCUAAUAAACUUUAUAAACUAAAUUGAAGUUUAAUUUCAACUAACGAGGCACGCCAUCUAUACAAAUAGGUAUAAAACAAUAAUUUUUCUGUUUGUAAAUGCUCCGAAACUACAGAACCGAUUUGAAAAAUUCUUUCACUGUUAGGAAGCUAAACUAAGGAACUAUCCUCGAGUAACAUAUAUUUUACCCCGUACGGGGCAUACAUACUCACUUGAUUUGGAAACAUUCACAAAGCAGCCCGGAGCCUGGAAGUUGGUGAUUGAUACACUCAUUACACUCGUGUAUCGGAGAGCACAUUAAUGUCGUACCUGCUUGUGAUCUCUCUCCGGUGGUGUCGGAUUGUCGUCGCAUCGCGCUAUGAGAGUGAAGGAAUACUGAGUGCACCGCAGUCCAAGCAAAUGCUUGUGCACUAUAAUAUGUCCUGCGCAGCUGGCUGAUCUCCUUAUAUGAGAACAGCCGCCGUGGCUGAUAAUCGGCUUUGAAGACACCAUUAUCAUCACUCACAUUGAUCCUAUGGGUAGCAGCCACAGCUCUGGCCAUCUGGGGCGCUCUGGAUGUCUCCCUGGGCCAGCUGCAGAGGUACAACGAUUCUCCAACCGUGGUGACCUUGGAAAAAGACUUCAGAUCCUGGCGAUUUAACGUUCC